AAAAGAUUCUCAUCAUUAGUCAUUAGGGAAAUGGAAAUUAAAAACCUCAAAAAAUAGGUAUGUGAAAUUAAGAGUUACAGUACUACGGUGUUAGGGAGAAUACCAAGAGAAAGGAAAGGAAAUGAUGCAAAACUUGUUACACAGAUGUUUAUGGGCUUUCUUAUGUAAUUUAAAAGUAAACUUGGUUGUAGUUUUGUGAUUUGUGUAAUUUAUUAAAUAGUAUAAAUUUUUUUGUUUUGCCUUUAUGAACUUCUUUCGUGUAACCAAAGAUACUUAGUUAAAAUAAUUAAGAAUUAUUAAAACAAUUUUUGGUAGAAGUUAUGCAUAGGACCACUAAAUUUUUAAAAGUAAUUAAGAAAUAGGAUAUUUAAUUAUUUUAAUGACUUUUAAAUUAUAGGUACAGCCAUAGUGCUGAAGUUCAAGUUCGUCUUCAAUUCUUGACUUGUGUAUUUUCAACUCUGGGAUCACCUGAUCAUUUCAGUAAGUUUUUUAAUCAGUACUUUUAAAAAAUCUGUUUUGACUAUUGGAAGAACUAAAUUUACUCUCGCUUCUGAUUUCUGCAGUUUUUUUUUUUUUUU
rnacentral:lncRNA from 1 species